AACGAGCGCUGGCGGCAUGCCUAACACAUGCAAGUCGAACGAUGGUCUUCGGAUCAUAGUGGCGCACGGGUGCGUAACGCGUGGGAAUCUGCCCUUGGGUUCGGAAUAACAGUUGGAAACGACUGCUAAUACCGGAUGAUGUCGAUAAGACCAAAGAUUUAUCGCCCGAGGAUGAGCCCGCGUCGGAUUAGCUAGUUGGUGGGGUAAAGGCCUACCAAGGCGACGAUCCGUAGCUGGUCUGAGAGGAUGAUCAGCCACACUGGGACUGAGACACGGCCCAGACUCCUACGGGAGGCAGCAGUGGGGAAUAUUGGACAAUGGGCGCAAGCCUGAUCCAGCAAUGCCGCGUGAGUGAUGAAGGCCUUAGGGUUGUAAAGCUCUUUUACCCGGGAAGAUAAUGACUGUACCGGGAGAAUAAGCCCCGGCUAACUCCGUG
rnacentral:rRNA from 1 species